ACCUGCCCAGCAGAACGACCCGCGAACAUGUUUAUCUAUCUUGGGCGUCGCGGUGUUGCUCGGUACCUUGUGUGCCACCUCGUCCCUCGCCCAAGCUGGGCACCGCCCACUUGUGGGCUGGUUGCUUGGCACUUAAACGAACCCCGGCGCGAAAAGCGUCAAGGAACAUAAACUCAAUGUGCGCGCCCUCCUCUUGCCCGGUUAGCCGGUGCAUGGGUGUGGUGCCAUGUCUUAACAAUAAACGACUCUCGGCAACGGAUAUCUCGGCUCUCGCAUCGAUGAAGAACGUAGCGAAAUGCGAUACUUGGUGUGAAUUGCAGAAUCCCGUGAACCAUCGAGUCUUUGAACGCAAGUUGCGCCCGAAGCCUUUGGCUGAGGGCACGUCUGCCUGGGCGUCACGCAUCGCGUCUCCCCCACACCCACCUCGAGUGGAGGGGAAGGAGGAUGGCUUCCCGUGCCUCACCGGGCGCGGUUGGCCUAAAUUCGGAGCCCACGGCACUGAGCUGCCGCGGCGUUAGGUGGUGAACAUGGCCUUCUCGGCCAAGCGAACAACCCGUCGCGCAGCGCCCUGCCAAUGUGAGCUUGUAGGACCCUUUGAAGUUGCAUCACUGCAACUCAAACCGUUGCGACCC
rnacentral:rRNA from 1 species